AUAUACUUUACUAUCUCCCCGUUCCUCUUGACUAGUGUCUCUGACUGCCUCUCUGCUGUUUCUAACUGGAUGGCUGUCCACUUCCUUAAACUAAACUUGACCAAAACUGAAAUGCUGGUCUUUCCUCCCUCAAGUGUUGUUACUCCUGUGUGCUUCCCUCCAAGUCAACGGUGCUACCAUCAGCUCCUCCACGUAGGCUCGCUGCCUGGGUGUUCUCUUUGACUCCGACCUCUCCUUCAAUCCUAAUGUUCAGUCUAUCGCCAAAUCCUGUUAUUUCCAUUUCAAAAACAUUGCGCACAUCCGCCCCUACUUAACUCCAG